GACGAACGCUGGCGGCGUGCCUAAUACAUGCAAGUAGAACGCACAGUUUAUACCGUAGCUUGCUACACCAUAAACUGUGAGUUGCGAACGGGUGAGUAACGCGUAGGUAACCUGCCUGGUAGCGGGGGUUAACUAUUGGAAACGAUAGCUAUUACCGCAUAAUAUUGAUUAUUGCAUGAUAAUUGAUUGAAAGAUUCUAUUGCAUCACUACCAGAUGGACCUGCGUUUUAUUAGCUAGUAGGUGAGGUAGCGGCUCACCUAGGCGACGAUACAUGGCCGACCUGGGGGGGUGAACGGCCACACUGGGAAUGGGACACGGGCCAGACGCCAAAGGGAGGCAGGAGGAGGGAAUCGGCGGCAAUGGACGAAAGGCGGACCGAGCAACGCCGGGGGAGGGAAGAAGGUUGUCGGAUCGUAAAGCGCUGUUUUAAGAGAAGAACGGGUGUGAGAGUGGAAAGUACACACUGUGACGGUAGCGGAAGAGGAAGGGACGGCUAACUACGUG
rnacentral:rRNA from 1 species